CAUGGUGAGACAUGAAUUCACGAUUCUAUCAGUUUGGGAAAUAUAAACAUCCUACGAUGACAAGGACUAGAAAAUACUGAUAAUAAUAAUUGUUUUAUUCAACAUGGCAAUACAGCAGAUGACUCAAGGAAUGCUGAGACAUUUAUUCAUAUGCAUACAACUUUGGAAAAGUAAUGAACAUCCAAUGUUGAAAAUGAACUAAAAGAUACUGAUUAUAAAGAAUUAAUGCAAUAUUGCAAUACAGCAGACAAUGAAAGCCAUGGUGAGACAUGAAUUCACGAUUCUAUCAGUUUGGAAAAUAUAAACAUCCUACGAUGACAAGGACUAGAAAAUACUGAUAAUAAUAAUUGUUUUAUUCAACAUGGCAAUACAGCAGAUGACUCAAGGAAUGCUGAGACAUUUAUUCAUAUGCAUACAACUUUGGAAAAGUAUGAACAUCCAAUGUUGAAAAUGAACUAAAAGAUACUGAUUAUAAAGAAUUAAUGCAAUAUUGCAAUACAGCAGACAAUGAAAGCCAUGGUGAGACAUGAAUUCGCGAUUCUAUCAGUUUGGAAAAUAUAAACAUCCUACGAUGACAAUGGACUAGAAGAUACUGAUAAUAAUAAUUGUUUUAUUCAACAUGGCAAUACAGCAGAUGACUCAAGGAAUGCUGAGACAUUUAUUCAUAUGCAUACAACUUUGGAAAAGUAUGAACAUCCAAUGUUGAAAAUGAACUAAAAGAUACUGAUUAUAAAGAAUUAAUGCAAUAUGGAAAUACAGCAGGUCACUCAAGGGAUGCUGAAACAUUAAUUUCUAUUCAUACAACUUUGAGAAAAUUGCAAUACAGCAGACAAUGAAAGCCAUGGUGAGACAUGAAUUCGCGAUUCUAUCAGUUUGGAAAAUAUAAACAUCCUACGAUGACAAUGGACUAGAAGAUACUGAUAAUAAUAAUUGUUUUAUUCAACAUGGCAAUACAGCAGAUGACUCAAGGAAUGCUGAGACAUUUAUUCAUAUGCAUACAACUUUGGAAAAGUAUGAACAUCCAAUGUUGAAAAUGAACUAAAAGAUACUGAUUAUAAAGAAUUAAUGCAAUAUUGCAAUACAGCAGACAAUGAAAGCCAUGGUGAGACAUGAAUUCGCGAUUCUAUCAGUUUGGAAAAUAUAAACAUCCUACGAUGACAAUGGACUAGAAGAUACUGAUAAUAAUAAUUGUUUUAUUCAACAUGGCAAUACAGCAGAUGACUCAAGGAAUGCUGAGACAUUUAUUCAUAUGCAUACAACUUUGGAAAAGUAUGAACAUCCAAUGUUGAAAAUGAACUAAAAGAUACUGAUUAUAAAGAAUUAAUGCAAUAUGGCAAUACAGCAGAUAACUCAAGGAAUGCUGAGACAUUUAUUCAUAUGCAUACAACUUUGGAAAAUUAUGAACAUCCAAUGUUGAAAAUGAACUAAAAGAUACUGAUUAUAAAGAAUUAAUGCAAUAUGGAAAUACAGCAGGUCACUCAAGGGAUGCUGAAACAUUAAUUUCUAUUCAUACAACUUUGUGAAAAUUGCUAUACAGCAGACAAUGAAAGCCAUGGUGAGACAUGAAUUCGCGAUUCUAUCAGUUUGGAAAAUAUAAACAUCCUACGAUGACAAUGGACUAGAAGAUACUGAUAAUAAUAAUUGUUUUAUUCAACAUGGCAAUACAGCAGAUGACUCAAGGAAUGCUGAGACAUUUAUUCAUAUGCAUACAACUUUGGAAAAGUAUGAACAUCCAAUGUUGAAAAUGAACUAAAAGAUACUGAUUAUAAAGAAUUAAUGCAAUAUGGCAAUACAGCAGAUGACUCAAGGAAUGCUGAGACAUUUAUUCAUAUGCAUACAACUUUGGAAAAGUAUGAACAUCCAAUGUUGAAAAUGAACUAAAAGAUACUGAUUAUAAAGAAUUAAUGCAAUAUGGCAAUACAGCAGAUGACUCAAGGAAUGCUGAGACAUUUAUUCAUAUGCAUACAACUUUGGAAAAGUAUGAACAUCCAAUGUUGAAAAUGAACUAAAAGAUACUGAUUAUAAAGAAUUAAUGCAAUAUUGCAAUACAGCAGACAAUGAAAGCCAUGGUGAGACAUGAAUUCGCGAUUCUAUCAGUUUGGAAAAUAUAAACAUCCUACGAUGACAAUGGACUAGAAGAUACUGAUAAUAAUAAUUGUUUUAUUCAACAUGGCAAUACAGCAGAUGACUCAAGGAAUGCUGAGACAUUUAUUCAUAUGCAUACAACUUUGGAAAAGUAUGAACAUCCAAUGUUGAAAAUGAACUAAAAGAUACUGAUUAUAAAGAAUUAAUGCAAUAUGGCAAUACAGCAGAUGACUCAAGGAAUGCUGAGACAUUUAUUCAUAUGCAUAAAACUUUGGAAAAGUAUGAACAUCCAAUGUUGAAAAUGAACUAAAAGAUACUGAUUAUAAAGAAUUAAUGCAAUAUUGCAAUACAGCAGACAAUGAAAGCCAUGGUGAGACAUGAAUUCGCGAUUCUAUCAGUUUGGAAAAUAUAAACAUCCUACGAUGACAAUGGACUAGAAGAUACUGAUAAUAAUAAUUGUUUUAUUCAACAUGGCAAUACAGCAGAUGACUCAAGGAAUGCUGAGACAUUUAUUCAUAUGCAUACAACUUUGGAAAAGUAUGAACAUCCAAUGUUGAAAAUGAACUAAAAGAUACUGAUUAUAAAGAAUUAAUGCAAUAUGGCAAUACAGCAGAUGACUUAAGGAAUGCUGAGACAUUUAUUCAUAUGCAUACAACUUUGGAAAAGUAUGAACAUCCAAUGUUGAAAAUGAACUAAAAGAUACUGAUUAUAAAGAAUUAAUGCAAUAUUGCAAUACAGCAGACAAUGAAAGCCAUGGUGAGACAUGAAUUCGCGAUUCUAUCAGUUUGGAAAAUAUAAACAUCCUACGAUGACAAUGGACUAGAAGAUACUGAUAAUAAUAAUUGUUUUAUUCAACAUGGCAAUACAGCAGAUGACUCAAGGAAUGCUGAGACAUUUAUUCAUAUGCAUAAAACUUUGGAAAAGUAUGAACAUCCAAUGUUGAAAAUGAACUAAAAGAUACUGAUUAUAAAGAAUUAAUGCAAUAUUGCAAUACAGCAGACAAUGAAAGCCAUGGUGAGACAUGAAUUCGCGAUUCUAUCAGUUUGGAAAAUAUAAACAUCCUACGAUGACAAUGGACUAGAAGAUACUGAUAAUAAUAAUUGUUUUAUUCAACAUGGCAAUACUGCAGAUGACUCAAGGAAUGCUGAGACAUUUAUUCAUAUGCAUACAACUUUGGAAAAGUAUGAACAUCCAAUAUUGAAAAUGAACAAAAAAAGAUACUGAUUAUAAAGAAUUAAUGCAAUAUGGCAUUACAGCAGAUGACUCAAGGAAUGCUGAGACAUUUAUUCAUAUGCAUACAACUUUGGAAAAGUAUGAACAUCCAAUAUUGAAAAUGAACAAAAAAAGAUACUGAUUAUAAAGAAUUAAUGCAAUAUUGCAAUACAGCAGACAAUGAAAGCCAUGGUGAGACAUGAAUUCACGAUUCUAUCAGUUUGGAAAAUAUAAACAUCCUAUGAUGAAAAUGGACUAGAAGAUACUGAUAACAAUAAUUGUUUUAUUCAACAUGGCAAUACAGCAGAUGACUCAAGGAAUGCUGAGACAUUUAUUUGUAUGCAUACAACUUUGGGAAAGUAUGAACAUUCAAUGUUGAAAAUUAACUAAAAGUUACUGAUUAU